GUUGGGCUUACUUCAGCAACAUAUGCUAAAAUUGGAAUAAUACAGGAAAGAUUAGCAGGACUCUUAUCCAAGCAUGACAUGCAGAUUUAUGAAGCUUUCGGUAAUUUU
ensembl:snRNA U6 U6 spliceosomal RNA